CCAAGAGAAAGCGUGAAGCUGCCAGCAUGAUCUAACUUGCAGACAAGAAAUCAGCUCAGCUCGCUGGUUUCGAACAGGAAGGCGGCUAGCUGAGGCUUCUUCUGAGUACGUGAUGGUUAGAUCAUGCUGUGACAGUUUCACUCCUUCCCUGU
rnacentral:pre_miRNA from 7 species